GUGUCAGCAGCCGCGGUAAGACAGAGGGUGCAAACGUUGUUCGGAAUUACUGGGCGUAAAGCGCGUGUAGGCGGCUAUGCAAGUCGGGCGUGAAAGCCCUCGGCUCAACCGAGGAAGUGCACUCGAAACUGCGUAGCUAGAGUCCCGGAGAGGAAGGUGGAAUACUUGGUGUAGAGGUGAAAUUCGUAGAUAUCAAGUGGAACACCGGUGGCGAAGGCGGCCUUCUGGACGGUGACUGACGCUGAGACGCGAAAGCGUGGGGAGCAAACAGGAUUAGAUACCCCCGUAGUCC
rnacentral:rRNA from 1 species